rnacentral:rRNA from 1 species
AACGAACGCUGGCGGCAUGCCUAACACAUGCAAGUCGAACGAGACCUUCGGGUCUAGUGGCGCACGGGUGCGUAACGCGUGGGAACCUGCCCUUAGGUUCGGAAUAACUCCCCGAAAGGGGUGCUAAUACCGGAUAAUGUCUUCGGACCAAAGAUUUAUCGCCUUUGGAUGGGCCCGCGUUGGAUUAGCUAGUUGGUAGGGUAAAAGCCUACAAAGGCGACGAUCCAUAGCUGGUCUGAGAGGAUGAUCAGCCACACUGGGACUGAGACACGGCCCAGACUCCUACGGGAGGCAGCAGUGGGGAAUAUUGGACAAUGGGCGAAUGCCUGAUCCAGCAAUGCCGCGUGAGUGAUGAAGGCCUUAGGGUUGUAAAGCUCUUUUACCCGGGAUGAUAAUGACAGUACCGGGAGAAUAAGCUCCGGCUAACUCCGUG